rnacentral:tRNA from 1 species
ACUGAUGUGGCGUAGUGGUUUGAGUAUUGGAUUAUGACUCUGUAGACUAGGGUUCGAUUCCCAGCUUUGUCA